rnacentral:rRNA from 1 species
CCUACGGGUGGCAGCAGUGAGGAAUAUUGGUCAAUGGACGAGAGUCUGAACCAGCCAAGUAGCGUGAAGGAUGACUGCCCUAUGGGUUGUAAACUUCUUUUAUAUGGGAAUAAAAUGUUCCACGUGUGGGAUUUUGUAUGUACCAUAUGAAUAAGGAUCGGCUAACCCCGUGCCAGCAGCCGCGGUAAUACGGAGGAUCCGAGCGUUAUGCGGAUUUAUUGGGCUUAAAGGGAGCGUAGGUGGAUUGUUAAGUCAGUUGUGAAAGUUUGCGGCUCAACCGUAAAAUUGCAGUUGAAACUGGCAGUCUUGAGUACAGUAGAGGUGGGCAGAAUUCGUGGUGUAGCGGUGAAAUGCUUAGAUAUCACGAAGAACUCCGAUUGCGAAGGCAGUUCACUGGACUGCAACUGACACUGAGGCUCGAAAGUGUGGGUAUCAAACAGGAUUAGAUACCCUUGUAGUC